UGUCAGGUGGGCAGUUUGACUGGGGCGGUCGCCUCCCAAAAGGUAACGGAGGCGCUCAAAGGUUCUCUCAGUACGGUCGGAAAUCGUACGUAGAGUGUAAAGGCAAAAGAGAGCUUGAUUGCAAGACAUACAGGUCGAGCAAGGAUGAAAAUCGGACUUAGUGAUCCGGUGGUUCUGCGUGGAAGGGCCAUCGCUCAACGGAUAAAAGCUACCCUGGGGAUAACAGGCUUAUCUCCCCCAAGAGUCCACAUCGACGGGGAGGUUUGGCACCUCGAUGUCGGCUCAUCACAUCCUGGGGCUGUAGUAGGUCCCAAGGGGUGGGCUGUUCGCCCAUUAAAGUGGUACGCGAGCUGGGUUCAGAACGUCGUGAGACAGUUCGGUCCCUAUCCGUCGCAGGCGUAGGAAAUUUGAGAAGACCUGUCCUUAGUACGAGAGGACCGGGAUGGACGUACCUCUGGUGUACCAGUUGUUCUGCCAAGGGCAUGGCUGGGUAGCUAUGUACGGAAUGGAUAAGCGCUGAAAGCAUCUAAGCGCGAAGCCAACUUCAAGAUAAGAUUUCCCACCGCAAGGGUAAGACCCCAGAAAGACUAUCUGGUUGAUAGGUCGAAGGUGUAAGUGCAGCAAUGUAUUUAGCUUAUCGAUACUAAUAGGUCGAGGACUUGACCAAAUU
rnacentral:rRNA from 1 species